CCUACGGGCGGCAGCAGUGGGGAAUAUUGGACAAUGGGCGAAAGCCUGAUCCAGCCAUGCCGCGUGUGUGAAGAAGGCCUUCGGGUUGUAAAGCACUUUCAGUGGGGAAGAAAGCCUUGGGGCUAAUACCCUCGAGGAAGGACAUCACCCACAGAAGAAGCACCGGCUAACUCCGUGCCAGCAGCCGCGGUAAUACGGAGGGUGCGAGCGUUAAUCGGAAUUACUGGGCGUAAAGCGCGCGUAGGCGGUCUGAUAAGCCGGUUGUGAAAGCCCCGGGCUCAACCUGGGAACGGCAUCCGGAACUGUCAGGCUAGAGUGCAGGAGAGGAAGGUAGAAUUCCCGGUGUAGCGGUGAAAUGCGUAGAGAUCGGGAGGAAUACCAGUGGCGAAGGCGGCCUUCUGGACUGACACUGACGCUGAGGUGCGAAAGCGUGGGUAGCAAACCGGAUUAGAUACCCUAGUAGUC
rnacentral:rRNA from 1 species